rnacentral:rRNA from 1 species
GCUGGCGGCGCGCUUAACACAUGCAAGUCGAACGAGAAAGGGGAGCAAUCCCUGAGUAAAGUGGCGUACGGGUGAGUAACACGUGGAUGAUCUACCUCUUAGUGGGGGAUAACCCUGGGAAACUGGGGCUAAUACCGCAUAAGCCUGGAAAGGGAAAGGAGCAAUUCGCUGAGAGAGGAGUCCGCGGCUGAUUAGCUAGUUGGUGAGGUAAUGGCUCACCAAGGCAAUGAUCGGUAGCCGGCCUGAGAGGGCACACGGCCACACUGGCACUGAAACACGGGCCAGACUCCUACGGGAGGCAGCAGUGGGGAAUCUUGCACAAUGGGGGCAACCCUGAUGCAGCGACGCCGCGUGAGCGAUGAAGCCCUUCGGGGUGUAAAGCUCUUUCGACGGGAACGAUAAUGACGGUACCCGGAGAAGAAACUGCGGCUAACUACGUGCCAGCAGCCGCGGUAAUACGUAGGCAGCAAGCGUUGUUCGGAGUUACUGGGCGUAAAGAGUGCGUAGGCGGUCCUGUAAGUUUGGUGUGAAAUCUC